UCAUUUUUAUAACUUUACAUACUCUUCUUUUUGAAAUUGAACUGUUUUCAUGUGUUAAAGUCACAAAAUUUUAGGGCCAGAAAGGAUUUGAGUUCAGUGUCCUUUAAGUUGGAUUUUGCACAUCCACAUAGGUGCCAUGACUAAGUAGGUGAGGCUAAAACCAUCAUCCCCCCCGAAUUGUAUCUACUUUAAAUAUUGGGGUUCCACAUAGGAUUCUUUUUGGAGGUAAGAGAGAAAAGUCCUCUGGGCUGGUCCAGUCGCCUUUAUUUUGCAAAUUAAUAUGCUCAUGUUCAUGGAUAUUAUAUAGAUUGCCAAGUUGGAGAUAGGACUGGGGUUCCCUAAGUUUGCUAGGAGUAUUCACUGGGUAUUAAAUUGAGAGGCACACAUAAAUAUCAGGAUCCAUAGUCUAAAUUGGCACUGUCCAGUAAAACUUUCUGUAACAGUGGACAUAUUCUGAGGCUGCACUAUCCAAUAUGGCAGUCACUAGUCACAAGUGGCUGUUGAGCUCUUAAAAUAUUGCUAGUGCAGUGGGCGGUAUUGACUUUUAAAUUUAAUUUAAUUUAAAUCUGAGUAAUAAUGUGUAGUCAGUUGGUAGCUACCCUUUUGUACAAAGCAGAUCUGGAGUUUUACCUUCAUGAGUUGCCAGACUUGGAAGCAGAAUUUUUUGGGAGGGCAGAGAUUUAUUCGACCAAGUUAUAUUUCUGAGGGCAGGUCCAUGGCCUUAUGACCUAGAUUAAAGUAAAUAGAUAAAAUUCACAUUGUUGAAUGGAGGAAAUUAUAGUAGAAAGUGGAUUAUAUUUUAAUGCUCAUUUGGAGUACCUAACCUUACACAGUGGCCCAGAGUUUGGGAAACCGACCGUCAUCAUUCUUUCAUGAUGGUUUAGUUGAAUUUAUAUUCUGAUUCACCCCACAAAUUCAAAGGCCUCAAAAUGAUGGCAUUUUUACUGUGAAAAGCAGAAAAAUACAGUGUUUCUCUGUUUUAUUUGUAUUUGUGCUACCUACCUAUUUUAUGGUCCAUAUUUUUCUGUAAGA